rnacentral:lncRNA from 1 species
GUGUUGUGGUGCAUAAUGGAUUAUGUUUGAACUGUAUUGUAUUUAAUCUACUUUGAUUAUUUAUGCAUCUAUAAUUAUUUGAAUGUACUUCUCAUCCGUUUUGUUUGAAUGUUGCCUUUACAUGGGCAUCGUGCAGAUACUCAGGAGUAGACCUUGCUGAAGUAAGUGAAAGCUGGCUCUUGGAGUACUUCCUUAGUUUAUC